GGUGUAGGUGGCUCUAUAAGUCAGGAGUGAAAGCCCCAAGCUUAACUUGGGAAGUGCUUUUGAUACUGUAGAGCUUGAAUGUGGGAGAGGAUCGUGGAAUUCCAGGUGUAGUGGUGAAAUACGUAGAUAUCUGGAGGAACACCGGUGGCGAAGGCGGCGAUCUGGCCCAACAUUGACACUGAGACCCGAAAGCGUGGGGAUCAAACA
rnacentral:rRNA from 1 species